GAUGAACGCUGGCGGCGUGCCUAAUACAUGCAAGUCGAGCGAACAGACGAGGAGCUUGCUCCUCUGACGUUAGCGGCGGACGGGUGAGUAACACGUGGAUAACCUACCUAUAAGACUGGGAUAACUUCGGGAAACCGGAGCUAAUACCGGAUAAUAUAUUGAACCGCAUGGUUCAAUAGUGAAAGACGGUUUUGCUGUCACUUAUAGAUGGAUCCGCGCCGCCUUAGCUAGUUGGUAAGGUAACGGCUUACCAAGGCAACGAUGCGUAGCCGACCUGAGAGGGUGAUCGACCACACUGGAACUGAGACACGGUCCAGACUCCUACGGGAGGCAGCAGUAGGGAAUCUUCCGCAAUGGGCGAAAGCCUGACGGAGCAACGCCGCGUGAGUGAUGAAGGUCUUCGGAUCGUAAAACUCUGUUAUUAGGGAAGAACAAAUGUGUAAGUAACUAUGCACGUCUUGACGGUACCUAAUCAGAAAGCCACGGCUAACUACGUG
rnacentral:rRNA from 1 species